AAAUUGAAGAGUUUGAUCAUGGCUCAGAUUGAACGCUGGCGGCAGGCCUAACACAUGCAAGUCGAACGGUAACAGGAAGCAGCUUGCUGCUUUGCUGACGAGUGGCGGACGGGUGAGUAAUGUCUGGGAAACUGCCUGAUGGAGGGGGAUAACUACUGGAAACGGUGGCUAAUACCGCAUAACGUCGCAAGACCAAAGAGGGGGACCUUCGGGCCUCUUGCCAUCAGAUGUGCCCAGAUGGGAUUAGCUGGUUGGUGAGGUAACGGCUCACCAAGGCGACGAUCCCUAGCUGGUCUGAGAGGAUGACCAGCCACACUGGAACUGAGACACGGUCCAGACUCCUACGGGAGGCAGCAGUGGGGAAUAUUGCACAAUGGGCGCAAGCCUGAUGCAGCCAUGCCGCGUGUAUGAAGAAGGCCUUCGGGUUGUAAAGUACUUUCAGCGGGGAGGAAGGUGUUGUGGUUAAUAACCGCAGCAAUUGACGUUACCCGCAGAAGAA
rnacentral:rRNA from 1 species